UGUAAGCGUAUACUAAAGUUGUUGCAGUUAGAACGCUCGUAGUCGGAAUUUGGCAGUUCCGGAUGUGUGCACGUCGUGUGCGCACUUCGCGGGGAUUGCUUUUGUGGUCUUGCGUAGGAUGAGGCACUUUUAUUAGUGAACGUCCUCACGCAACCACUUUUUACUGUGAGAAAAUCAGAGUGCUCAAAGCAGGCAUUUGCCGUGAAUGUAUUAGCAUGGAAUAAUAGAAUAGGACUUGGUUCUAUUUUGUUGGUUUGUUGGGACUGAGUAAUGAUUAAGAGGGACAGUUGGGGGCAUUUGUAUUUCGGUGCUAGAGGUGAAAUUCUUAGAUUACCGAAAGACAAACUGCUGCGAAAGCGUCUGCCAAGGAUGUUUUCAUUGA
rnacentral:rRNA from 1 species